GAGUUUGAUCAUGGCUCAGAUUGAACGCUGGCGGCAUGCCUUACACAUGCAAGUCGAACGGCAGCAUGAUCUAGCUUGCUAGAUUGAUGGCGAGUGGCGAACGGGUGAGUAAUACAUCGGAACGUGCCCUGUAGUGGGGGAUAACUAGUCGAAAGAUUAGCUAAUACCGCAUACGACCUGAGGGUGAAAGUGGGGGACCGCAAGGCCUCAUGCUAUAGGAGCGGCCGAUGUCUGAUUAGCUAGUUGGUGGGGUAAAGGCCCACCAAGGCGACGAUCAGUAGCUGGUCUGAGAGGGCGAUCAGCCACACUGGGACUGAGACACGGCCCAGACUCCUACGGGAGGCAGCAGUGGGGAAUUUUGGACAAUGGGCGAAAGCCUGAUCCAGCAAUGCCGCGUGUGUGAAGAAGGCCUUCGGGUUGUAAAGCACUUUUGUCCGGAAAGAAAUGGCUCUGGUUAAUACCUGGGGUCGAUGACGKACCGAAGAUUU
rnacentral:rRNA from 1 species